rnacentral:rRNA from 1 species
UGAUCCUGGCUCAGAUUGAACGCUGGCGGCAGGCCUAACACAUGCAAGUCGAACGGUAACAGAACUAGCUUGCUAGUUGCUGACGAGUGGCGGACGGGUGAGUAAUGCUUGGGAAUUUGCCUUUAGGUGGGGGACAACAGUUGGAAACGACUGCUAAUACCGCAUGAUAGCUACGGCUCAAAGGGGGCUUCGGCUCCCGCCUUUAGAGAAGCCCAAGUGGGAUUAGGUAGUUGGUGAGGUAAAGGCUCACCAAGCCCACGAUCCCUAGCUGGUCUGAGAGGAUGAUCAGCCACACUGGAACUGAGACACGGUCCAGACUCCUACGGGAGGCAGCAGUGGGGAAUAUUGCACAAUGGGCGAAAGCCUGAUGCAGCCAUGCCGCGUGUGUGAAGAAGGCCUUCGGGUUGUAAAGCACUUUCAGCGAGGAGGAAAGCUUAGUCGUUAAUACCGGCUAGGUGUGACGUUACUCGCAGAAGAAGCACCGGCUAACUCCGUGCCAGCAGCCGCGGUAAUACGGAGGGUGCGAGCGUUAAUCGGAAUUACUGGGCGUAAAGCGUACGCAGGCGGCCAUUUAAGUCAGAUGUGAAAGCCCCGGGCUCAACCUGGGAACUGCAUUUGAAACUGGAUGGCUAGAGUGCGACAGAGGGUGGUAGAAUUUCAGGUGUAGCGGUGAAAUGCGUAGAGAUCUGAAGGAAUACCAAUGGCGAAGGCAGCCACCUGGGUCGACACUGACGCUCAUGUACGAAAGCGUGGGUAGCAAACAGGAUUAGAUACCCUGGUAGU